rnacentral:ncRNA from 1 species
AACAAGGUUUUGCCUUGAGCAGACGCUUGCGGAAGCCUUAGCAGCCCACAAGGGUUCCCCUCGCGACUAUAUUUAAAGGAAGGGGAUUGAAUGCUAGUGCCUGAGCUGCCAACUUGGGUGCGACAUCGCCAAAUUGCGGAGAACUCCACAUUUGCCUCGAUUACCAAGCGGACCGCCGAAAGGACCCCGUGGCCGGGCUAAUUGCUUUGGGUAUGGUCAAAACAUCGAGGAAAAGGAUGAUCCGCAGCGAAACCCUCUUGUUGUACAAAAGUGGGUGGCGUUCACAGACUAAACGGCGAUGGGUUCCAGAAAUUCGAAACCUGGGCUUAAGAUGUAGUCGGUUUGUCUUCGAAAGUGGCAGAUUGCAGAGUUUCACCGUUCCGUAGG